rnacentral:siRNA from 1 species
GAAGCAGAAGUUGUCGGUGAUAUG